AGGCCCUUAGCUCAGCGGUAGAGCACUCCCUUUACACGGGAUUUGUCCGGAGUUCGAUCCUCCGAGGGCCUACCA
rnacentral:tRNA from 2 species